rnacentral:lncRNA from 1 species
UGGCGAAGGGUGAUGCCGCAUUGUCGAAGCAGGGGUUUCGGAAGCUGCUCUUUCAAGCACUGUCAACCAUAGUUGGGUGUUCCUGUACGGAUGCAAACUUGUGAAGCUAUCGAAGCAUGCCAAAAGAGGAUGCGUUGUGUUGCAGUAAGCCUGUGAUCAAACAGCCACAUGGGCCUGAUCACACGGUUGGCCACGCGGCUGAUCGUUCCCCAAGAUCAGUCUGCUGACCUCUAGCAGCCUCCUAGUUUUAUUGUUUGUGCGAGACUCGGUCUCAGGACCAGCCUAGCAUGUUGGUUUUAUUUAUUUUUGUUUCUGUUUUGGUUACUUUUUAUCUUGCUUUUGUUUCCUUCUUUUUCUUAUUUCAUUUAUAUACUUAUUAUUUUACAACCUUGUACCUUUUUUAUUUUGGUUAUUUUUUUCUCACGCUUUUCUUUUUUUCUUCCUUUUAUUUUCUUCCAUUUUCUAUUUUCCUCGAAAAAAUCAUUUAAUAUUUCUUUUUCGAAUGCGAAGAAUUUUUUAAAUAUUUCAUUGGGUAUUAAAAACGUUUAAUCAUCUAUUAAAAAUGUUCAACAUGUAUUAAAAAUGUGUAUUUUAUACAGUAAAAAACCAUGUGUUAAAAAAGUUCAUCAUGUAUUUUAAAAAUGUACGCACAUAGAAAACAUGUUGUCACUUAGUGUUAAAAAAGGUCAUUGUUUAUUAACUAAUGUUCACCUUGUAUGAAUAUGCUCAUUAAAUAUUAAAUAUUAUCAUGGCGUAUUUAAAAACUAUUCUUUAUGUGUCUUAAUGUUUUUUCGUGUAUUUUAGAAAUAGUCAAAUUGUUUUAAAAACAAAACCAUGGUGUAUUACAUAUAUGUUCAACAUGUAUCUAUAAAUUAUUUAUAAUGGAGUAAAAUAUGUUCAUCCAGUAUAUUAAUUGCUUCGAAUAUAUUUAAAAAGUGUUCAUAUUUAUUUGAAUGUUUAUCAUGUAAUAGAAUUUUAUGUUCUUAUUUAUUACAAAGUUGCUCGUCAUUUAUAUAAAAAAAAUUAGUGCAUUUUUAUCAAUUUUAACAUAUUUUUCUAAACAAUACUUAAUGUAAUCUAGAGAAAAUUUUGACCUGUCUUGUUUUAUUAUAUAGCCAAUAAGUAGAUAUUACACAACAGAGGAGAGAAAAGUAAGUGAAAUAAAAGUGGAAAAAACAGAAUUAAGAAACACUGCGGUUGCAUGCCUACGCUUCUAAUAGGCCUUCGGCCCACCUACACCGCAGCCCACCCACUCGGGCCAAGCCCAUGUGUGGGCGCCCUGUUUUUAAUUUUAUUUUUUGUUUUUAGUGUUUCUUUUAUGUUUUCUUUUUGUACUGUAUUAAAUAAUUUGGUAUUCCGAAAAAGUUUCUUUUUUUUUAAAUGAUCACUUCCUAAAUAAAAUGUUCAAAGACUGAUCAAAUGUUUAUUAUUCAAAAAUUGUUUGUAUAUUUUUUAAUUCGCAUAUUCCAAAAAUGUUCCACAAACGAAAAAAUGCGCACGAUUUUUAAAAAGUGUUCAUUUAUUAUGAAAUUUCAAAUAAAUAGGAAAAAAUUCCUGGCAUCUCAAAAAUUCUUCAUGAAUUUUCAAUAAUGUUCUAAAAAUUCAAAAACUGUUCGGGAAUUACAAAAUAGUUCAUCUAUUCAUAAAAUAUCUGCUGACAAAAAUGUUCAUGCAUUUCAAAAAAUGUUUGUUCAAAUAAAAAAUGUUUAUGCAUUUCGAAAACUUUCCACCAAUUGGCAUAAAAAUUGACCAUCGAUUCAAAAUAUGUUCCCCGAUUCAAAAUGGAAUUACAAAAUUCACAAUUUAAGAACAACGUUUUCAUAUACAUAUUAAGAGUUCAUGAAUUCAAAAAAUGGUCAAAGAUUUUAAAAAUAUUAGCAAAUUCUUAAAUUUUUGACGAUUUUGAAUAAUAUUCAUGAUUUCAAAACCAUACCAACCACCACAUACUUGACAAGUUGGAGGUAAUAUGGGUAUCCCCAAAGCUGCUUAGAAGUUCCAGUCCUCGUUUCAGGGCCGUCUCCUCCACAAUGAGAGCGUGAGCAGUUGGUUUGAUAAAAAAAAAAAGGUUUUUGCAGCAACGAACUGACCUGAAUCAUAGUGAAUGAUAGUCCGUCACGAACUAGAGUUGUAGCUGGGCAUGUUCAAUCUGAAGUGGGCCGUGUAGGAGAUGUAGCUGGGCAUGUAGAUGUAGCUGGGCAUGUAGACUGUUCAAUCGGAGGAACUACUAGCAAACAAGUCGGUGCAGUGCAUAUGGAUAGUCAUAAAGCUAGCUAGCACUGGAGUGGGAGAGUGCAUCUUCUAGCGAGUAGUCUAGUCCGUAAUCAAUAAAUCCAGCAGCAGCAUGGUCGUGCAUGUAAUCAUACCGUUUCCGCUUUUCAACUGCCACAAAGCACCGUCACAUCCCAGGCCGGCCGCCCGACGACGCCAUGCCUCCCUGCACUUGCCUACAUUUUUUUUUUGCGGAAUAAUUCUUGUAUUACUCAAUCAAAACACGGUUACAGUCAUGCUUAACAGCGUCCAAAACGGCAUCUGGUCCUGACCCAAGCCAUACAGCAACUCGGCCUUGGGUCCUCCCAAAGUUGGCCAAAACAUGACUAGAAUUAUUACAACCACGAUGGAUAUGAGUAAUACAAGAACUACGUUCGGACAUACUAUCUUUAAUCUCUCUAAUAAGAAAGGCAUAUUUUGAUCUAUUUGUAUCUCCACUUUUCACCAUGUUCACUGCUUUCAAACUGUCGAUUUCAAUAUAAAUUGGUAGACUGCUCCACUGUAGAGCGAGCAUGAGUCCCUCCCGGAUUGCUAAGAUCUCAGCCUCCAAAAUAUCAUCACAAGAAAAAAGGUGUCUACAAGAGCUGAAGAUGAUGGUGCCGGUGUGGUCACGGAGCAGCAUACCUGUUCCUCCAACUCCAUUCAAAACAGAUCCAUCUGUAUUUAGCUUUACAUGCCAGUGGCCGGGGGUAUCCAAGAAACAAGAUUAGUGGAAACCUUAUUGCAUUCGUGAGCUGUAAGAGGGAAACAGUAUUGAAGUGGGGCUUUCCCUUUCACAUGAACAUCACCAGAACGUGUUGCAAAUGAUUGUAGCGAUGAUAGGUAGCUUGAUAAAAAUCUGACAAAGACAUCCAAAGGAGGGGCGGGUUUAAAAUGCACGAGCUCGUUUCUAACAUACCAAAUUCGCCAAAAGAGCAUCACCAGUCGAACUCGUGUAGACUCAUCAACCUCGCAGAUAUACUGAAUAAACCAAUCAGGCCCAGUUGACUUGAUCGAAGAUACAUCCGGCAAGAACCAUUCAGCAGCCAUGGCUCUCUAUAGAGCUCUUGCGUACGUGCAUGAACAGAAUGUAUGCAACGUGUCUUCUUCAUUAGCACCACAAAUAGGGCAUAGCGAGCAUGUCUCCAGAUUCCGUUUCAUCUUGUUACUCCAAGUAGCAAGGGAAUUAUUUGCAAGGCGCCAUGCAAAACUCAAUACUUUCGGGGGAGCCGGACAAGACCAUAGAGCCUUCCAGCCCUCACGGCGUCCAUCCGGCCGGCUGCUCGAAGUGACCAUGAGCCCAUUAUGAAGAUCAUCCGAGGCCAGACGGUAAGCACUUCGCACACUAAAAACACCCGAUUUUUCAGGGGCCCAGGCAAUGAAUCCUCACCCAAGCGAUGAGAAGGGCGAAUUUUCUGGAUCUCACAAAUGUCAACUGGGAGAAAGAAUUGCUGCAAUUUCGUAUUGUCCCAAUUUCCAUUGUGGUCCAUAAGCUCAUAAACCCACUUAAAUCUACAUCGACCUUUUGGAGAUAUAAGCCCACCAGUAGGAUCCCGAACAAUCCAUCUAUCACGCCAAAUUCUAACAUUUUGACCAUUUGCAAUCCUCCAAACCAUACCCUUCUUUAACAGUUCCAGGCCAUGGCAAAUAGCUUGCCAAGUAGGUGAUGGAUUACCUGUGAACACAGUGUCUUCCAAUCUCCCAUUAGGAUAGUAUUUUGCCUUCAGUAGCGUAGCACAGAGACCAUCAGGAUGGGUUAGGAGACGCCAAGCCUGUCGUGCUAACAAAGAUUGAUUAAACAAUCUGAAAUCUCUAAAGCCCAAACCACCUUGACACUUUGGCCUUGUCAUUUUGUUCCAUGCAUACCAAUGUGUUUUCCUCUUCCCCUUCUCCGCACCCCAGAAAUAAUAUUUGACCAUGCGGUUCAAAUCAUCACAAACUUCAAAGGGGAGCUUAAAGACACUCAUUAAAUAGUUUGGAAUUGCCUAUGCAACAGAUUUAAUUAGUACCUCCUUACCAGCUUGAGUUGGGUGGCCAUCAAAAGAGAACAAUCUCUUCGUAAGUUUUACUUGGAGAUUCUGAAAUUUACCAUUUGUCAUUCUGCCAUCCGGGGUUGGAAGACCAAGAUACUUUUCCUCAAACCCAAUAGUCAGGACUUGAAGAGCAUCCUUGACUGAAUCCAUGUUGUUCUUAGGGCAGGAGUUACCAAAUAAGAUAGAGCACUUAGCAGGAUUGAUUAGUUGUCCUGUAGCAUGACCAUAAGCAUCUAGGAUGUUUUUAACAUGUGUGGCUUGUUGGUCAGAAGCUUUGAAGAAGAGCAGAGUGUCAUCAGCAAAUAGCAAAUGGGAUAUACUAGGGGCCCUUCUUGUUAUUCUCAAAGGAGAAAUAUUACCAAGUACAAUACCUUGAUUUAUCAGAGCAGACAGACCAUCAGCAACAAACAGAAACAAAUAUGGGGAUAGCGGAUCACCUUGCCGAAGACCACGCGUCGGUGCAAACGAAUCCAAGAUGGCUCCAUUAAAUUUUACGGAGUAUCUCACUGAGGUCACACAAGUCAUUAUCCAGUUAACCCAUUUGUGAGCGAAGCCAAGCUUUUGCAUCAUUUUCUUAAGAUAAGACCAAUCUACCCGAUCAUAUGCCUUUGAGAGGUCAAGUUUGUAUGCACAAUAACUCCUUGUCGGAUCCUUCUCUUGCUUGAUGUGAUGGAUACAUUCAAAAGCUAUCAAUGCAUUAUCAGUAAUCAUACGCCCUGGGAUGAAAGCACUUUGAUAGGGGGAAAUAAUAUCAUCCAAAACAUGUCUAAGCCUAUUAACCAAGCACUUUGAAACUACUUUGUAAAUAACAUUACAUAAGCUUAUAGGGCGAAAAUCAGUAACCUUCACUGGGUUUUGAAUUUUAGAAAUCAUGACAAUCACUGUAUCAUUUACCUCCGGUGGCAUUAUUCCCAUGCAAAAAAAAUUCCUUCACAGCGCCUAUAACACUUUCCUUGAGAGUAGACCAGUUCCUCUGGAAAAAUCGUGCCGGGAAUCCAUCAGUACCCGGUGCCUUUAGGGGGCCAAUCUGAAAGAGUGCAUCAGAUAUUUCUUUUUCUGUGAACUCUCCACACAAUAUAUCAUUUGUUUCCUCACCUACCAAAGGUGCAAUAAGAUCAAUGAUAGGAGAAGAGUCCAGAUUACUUUCAGCCGUGAAAAUAUCCUCAAAAUAUCUAGUCGCUGCUGCACCCAUCUCCUUACUGUCAGUGUGGAUAACACCAUUGAUGUCUUGAAGUUUCUUUAUUCGAUUUUUCCUGGCUCGCCAAACAGCCUUGGCGUGAAAAAAAUUUGUAUUGCGAUCGCCGUCCUUCAGCCAAGUAAUACGUGAGCGCUGCAUCCACAUAAGUUCCUCUCUAUACAACAGUUCGUUCAUUUUAUCUGUAACUCUUCGUAUUUCCAUUCUGUCGGCGUUCAUUAAUAUAAGUUCUUCUAGUUGAGAACGUGUUUUUUCUAUAUCUCUAACAACGCUACCAAACUUUGUUUUACUCCAUUGACAAAGUUUACGCAUUGUUUCACGUAGAGCCCCAUGUACAUCACCAAGAGAACCUUUUUGACCAGCGGCCUCCCAUGCAUUCGCAAUGACUUCCUGUAAAGCCGGCUCCCGUUCCCACAUAACUUCAUAACGCCUAAUCCUCGGUUUGUACUGCUGAUCCUCCAGUAACUCAGUAGCUAUGUAAAGAGGUGCAUGAUACGAACAAGGAGAGGUAAGGUGCUGGACCAGCGAGUAAUCAAAUCGAUUCCUCCAUGCUGGGUUAGCCACUGCCCUAUCCAAGCGAACUUUAACAUUUGCAUUACCUGACCUCUUGUUAUCAUAGGUGUAGGGAACACCCACAAAGCCCAAAUCAACCAGCUGACUUGUUUCUAAAACAUCUCUAAAAGCUUGCAUUUGCCCAGCUGGUCGUGGUGUCAUCGAGAAGUGUUCAAAAUCCCACAUGCAUUCAUUAAAAUCACCAACCACAAGCCAGGGGAGAUCAGACUGAGCACUCAAAUUUUCCAACAGAGACCACAUAUUGUGUCGAUCUUCUACCCUUGGUUCUCCAUAAACACAAGUUAGGCGCCAAGGUGGAUCAUCUGCUCCUGCCUUAACCUGUGCAUCAAUGCAUCGCUGAUUCGAGAAAACCACCUCAACAGACAGCGAUUCGUGCCAAAACAGUGCCAAGCGACCACUAUUACCAAUACUGUCUACUGCAUCAAAACCUUGAAGUCCCAAACGAGCUCGAUAUCUUUUCAUACGAUUUUUUGAUUGCCUAGUUUCACAUAGAAACACCAUGGUGGGGGAAUGCGACUGAACCAUAGUCGCUAAAUCACGAACUGUCCGGGAGUUCCCCCCUCCCCGGCAGUUCCAACUCAGGAGAUUCAUUUGUCCUGGCGGCGUUCCGCCUGGGAACCCGCCGUAGUGGACAAUGUUUUUGAUUUGUUUGUAUUCUGAUCUGACCUCAACCUCUUUUGCUCCUGUUUUGCGGAUGGACUAGCAGGCACACUCGCCGGCGUAGGCAGAAGGAGCUGGCCCUUGACACUACUAGGCGUAGUAACAUUCUGCCCAAACCCGGUCAGCCCCCUUUUCCUGCUUACAUCUAGGUCUAUAUCUGCACCAUCCUUUUUACUAGCAUCAACCUCCAUCACUUUCCCAUCAUUUACCUCAGAAGAAUUAGUACGAGGGUCAUCAUCCGUGUUACGAUUUGCACGUGUUGCCGCCCCCCCAAGUAGCUCGAAGAUCCUUGAAGAACAGAGCCGAAACUGGAUGCACUCCAUCACCAUGUUCAGUAUGGAGAUGGCCGAUCAUGCCGCAUAGAGCACACCAGUCCGGAAGACGCUCGUACUUGACUCUGAAUAUAUGCCUCUUCUUCUUUCUCACAACAGAAACGUGGUUCUUUAAUUUAUGCUGAACAUCAAGAACAAUUCUUACACGGUAAAAAUUGCCAGCCAUAUCUCGUCCUCUGCUGUCCAGGGAGUAGAACUCCCCUGCUGUUCCCGCAAGAGUUGUGACCAGGGGCUCAAAACCAUCCGGCAGGUCUAUGAUUUGCAUCCAUAUUUUAAAAUUGUUUAGAUCAAUGGAAGAGGGUCUUGUGAAUCCAUCAUAAGACGCCAUUAGAACAGGAUUGCCACGGAAGGUCCAAGGGCCACCCUCCAUCACCUUGUCCCAAUCGCCCAGACAUGAGAAUUGCAUCGUGUAUAGCCCGUCCCCUAAUGAUCUGAACCUGACAUCUUGUGCGAGAUCCCAUGCACUGCGCAUGUUCUUGUAAAACCAGAAGUCGCCAAACUCCUUUGUAGUGUGCACAUGCCCGAUUGCCAGCCAACAAAUCGAACCAGCCACCUGCUCCGGGCACACCUCCUCAUAGAUCACAUCACUCAGAUCCGUAUCCUCAAUUCCGAGCUGUUUCAUCAUCUCCUGAAGAUCAUCGUCUCCUACAACCGAAUCUGCAUCAACUGACGCCAUGGCAAGGAAAACCUAACCCUAGUCCACGCGGGAGCAGGGUGAGAACUCCAACCGCCCGAUCCCAGGAGGUAGCAGCCAAGGCCGGGCAGCGCCGCGAGGACGCCCCAGAGUCAGCCCGAGCGCGUACCAGGAGGGAGGACGACAGCGGAGGACGGGGGACUCAACGUUUGCGUCGCCGCAGCCGAGAGGUGCAACCCUAGCGAGAGGGGAAAAAACCCCACCGAGGGAGUAAGUCUGUGUGCAACAUGCAGCGAGCUGCACUUGCCUACAUAUGCUAUGGUAUGCAUGCAACCCUGCAAAGCCACAGAUGGAAAGUGCAUACGUAUCCUACUACUGGCAAAGAUGACUAGCUAGCAGUUCGCAGGUGAUCGAGGCGUCCAUGGCAUGGGCCUGUUUGUUUCUCGUGCUUGUAUUCUCCAAGGCUGAUCAUGAAAACACCGGCGUGGGAGAGAAGUUGUGACACGUAAGUGCGGGGCACCUAGUCACUCACGCGUGUUAUUUUUAUUUUUUGGCUUUCAAAUUUUAAACUUUUACAUUCUUUGAAUAAAAGGUCCAAAUUGAGUUCUAUGUUUUCAAAUUCGUGUUUCUCGUGAUGACGACUAUCAAAGAGAUCCACGGUUAAUAUGUUUUCAUGAAUUUUGAAAAUAAAUAUCAACUUUCAACUCUUGAAACUUAGUACGUGCAAACGAUAAAAUCAUGAUUUUUGUGUCUAUGAUGACAAAAAAUAUCUUAAAAAUUUAUCCAAGAAAUUCGUAAUUCCCAGAUAAAAAGUCAUNNNNNNNNNNNNNNNNNNNNNNNNNNNNNNNNNNNNNNNNNNNNNNNNNNNNNNNNNNNNNNNNNNNNNNNNNNNNNNNNNNNNNNNNNNNNNNNNNNNNNNNNNNNNNNNNNNNNNNNNNNNNNNNNNNNNNNNNNNNNNNNNNNNNNNNNNNNNNNNNNNNNNNNNNNNNNNNNNNNNNNNNNNNNNNNNNNNNNNCACCAUCACUUGUAACAAAAAAAAGGAGUGAAUAUUAUAAAACUACCACAAUUCGCGUUACGGUUUCAAAAAAUACUAGAAAUUUGUUGUGACUAAUAACUAGUAGAACGGGCGUCGGCUGUUUCAAAAAAUCCAAAACCACCGUUGCUAAUAAAUUAAACCGGUUUAUGACAAACAAACCAUCUAUUUGACCGUUAAAUGUCAGUUAUCUCUUCCUUCUUAUCCUCCCUUAUCUCUUUCUCUCUCUCCGCGCAAGCCCGCCGGAUAUGCACUGGCCGCCCCUCCUCCUCCCUCUCCCCUUCUCUGCGAGCUAGCCCUCCUCCCCCCGGCCGACCCUCCUCCUCCCUCUCCUCCUCUGGCCGGAGCACGGCCUCCGGCAGGGCAGUGGUGCGCCCCUCCAUUGCAUGCGGUGGCGCCCCUCUCGCCAGUGCGCAGCGGUGCGCCCCUCUGCGUCGGCCGGCAAGGCAAAGAGCAGCAGCAACGGCGGCCGGCAAUUAAUAGCAGUAGGCGCGGCCGACAAGGAGCAGUAGCGCAGACGGCAAGGAGAAAUACGAGCAGCAUGCGCGGUCGGCGGGGAGCUCCGCCUGGACCGAUGUCGUCGCCCACCUGGAGGAGCCCGCCUCUGCGCCGAGGCCGGUGCCACCACCUUGAGCCGGCGUUGCCAUGGACCACCACCUCGAGCCGGCGCUGCCAUGGACCACCACCUCGACCUGGCGCCGAGGUCGGCCACACCGCCGCCAUGAAGGAGGUGCACGGACCGCUCGAGGGGAUAGAAGAGGGCUCGCGGCCGGCCACUGCUCACGGUCACAGCUGCCAUAGCCACGGGCUGGGCUGGGCUGGCCGCAGCCAUGGCUGCCGGCCACAACCACGGCCGGCUUAUACAGGGACUGGAUUGCUUUUUGAAAAAUGAUUGAGGGACCCGAUUGCUUUUUAAAAAUCUUCGUAGGGGUUAUUCCGUAAAAGUAAGGGCACAAUUUUAAAUUUAUAAAAGAACCAGGGGUUAAAGAAAAAAAUUACAUGCGAUUUUUUAAUAGGGAGUAAGAAACUGACAUGUAGGCCCCACAUGUCAGCUAACGGUCAAACAAACGGUCAACCAAUCAGUUCUCCUACAUGUGGGCCCCAACUGUCAUAAUCGCGAUCAAUUGUAAAGCACUCGACCAUUUGGGUUUUUUGAAACAACCGACACCGGUUCUGAUAGUUAUUAGUCACAAACAAAUUUUUGGUAGUUUUCUGAAACCCUAACGCGAAUUGUGGUAGUUUUAUGCUAUUUACUCAAAAAAAAAGGAUAGGAUGCAAGAUCGUAGCCACGGUAAACCUCCAUGAAUAAUGACUUACUCCGAAGUUCUAUGAUGCACGGACUGAGCAUGGCCUGGGUUUUAUUACCUCGUUCUGUCCUUUCUUUCAGAGAUGGAAGAACUCAAGGAGGGAGGAGAAAAGCAUGAACACCAUAAACUGGAGUUUUUGGCAACGCUGCGUUUUUUCUGUUUCUUCCUUUUAUUAAAUACUUCCAAACAAACCGGCCAUGAUCCAUUUCUUCAGUGCCAUCCCACGGUCGUGAUCGUGGCCAAUGGUUACACGAUUACAGGAAUAGUUAAGUCAGGAAAAGUAAACACUUGUCUAUUCAUCCACAACACGAAUGCGCGUGCUUCUGGCAUUAUUUGUAGUACAUCCAACAUAAAUUCCAGGUAGAAUGUAAAAUCCAACUAGAACGUACCGGCUAUAACAUAAAAUCCGUCUAAAAACAUAAGAUCCAGCCAGAGCAUCAAAUCCAGCGAGAACAGAGAACUUCAGUGUAUCCGGGUUAACCACAACAGACAUGACCCUCCUUAGAUCUUGGCCCGAGCGGGGUGGUGGGUGCGACGGGGUGCAGCGGGCAAGGCGAGGUGAGAUGGGGGAGAGCAGUUGCCGAGGCAGCAAGAUUUGGGAGAUCACUUAAACCUCACCGAAAUUUGAGGGAGCAACAUGGGUUUUUACCUUUUAGAGUGUGGAUGGGAGAGUGGAGGAGUGGUUUUAUCUGGUAGAUAGAUGCUCCCAUGAAUUAGUUAGAUGCUUUAAGGAGUAAGAAAUAAAAUGUGGUACUCCCUCCGUCCGAAAAUAUUUGUCAUCAAAAUGAAUAAAAGGGAUGUAUCUAAUGUAUUUUACUUAUAGAUACACUCAUUUUUAUCCAUUUUGAUGACAAGUAUUUUCGGACGGAGGAAGUACUGUAAUAGAGAUGAGCAACAACGUGAAAAUAGGACCUCCGUGUCACACGGCCGGCCAUGGUGAAUGGUUGCACGCACGCGCGCACCUACGGUGGCCAAAUUCACUGUAUUGACCCUCUUUUCUUAACUUAAGCAUGAUUUGACCCUAUGUGCGAAUUUUUUCGGAUCUGACCCUUUUCCUACCGUCAUUGUCUUUGGCGGUAGGACUUACUUACACCGUCACGUUCGUUCAGUGUGUAAAGGACCCUACCGCCAUGGUCUUUGGCAGUAGGGGCAUGCAUGUAAUUAUAAUAAGGGUAUGCAUGCAAUAAAAGAUUCAUUUUUUGCAAAAAUGACCCUACCGUCAUCGUCUAUGGCGGUAGGGUAACACAUCCUACCGCCAUAGACUGUGGCGGUAGGGUGUUUUUUGUAAUAAACGAAGGUAACGAUGCAGGUAAGUCUUAUCGCCAAAGGCCUUGACGGUAGGGUGUGUUACCCUACCGUCAUAGACGAUGACGAUAGAAAAAAGGUCAGAUCCGAAAAACUUUUAUACAUAGGAUGAGAUCGUGCUAAACUAACACAAAAGGGUCAAAAAGAGUGAAUUUGGCUACCUACGGUGCGGGCAUGCAUGCAUGUUGUACUGCCGUCGCCGGGCCGCACGUGCAGGAGAUGUCAAGUUGUCAUCAGCUGUCAGCUGUCGGGAAGGCAUGGUGUCCCCCGGAUCGGCCGCUUGCAUCCCGGCCGCUCCCGGCGCACGCACGUACCCCGUCGAUCGCGCGCCGUCCCGUCUCACGUCGGUAUGUUCGUCCGGCCCGACCGGCCGUACGUGAUCGUCCCGAUCCGGGCAGCCGGAGAGAUGGCUGGCUGGCUGGUGUCACACACAGUGGCUCUCCGGCCGUUUUACUGCCGGACCUGAGCUCCGACAGGGAUCAAUCAAUUGACGUACCGCGGGCUAGCUAGUAGCCACCCCCGACAGGGAACGAAGGGUUAUUCUAUUCUCGAUCGACUAUUUUUCUCUUUUGAUGAGGAGGGUGUUGUCAACAUGACAACGUGGUGGUGAAUAUAUGUGUGAACAUGAUGCAUGCAUGGGACGAAAUUACUGUUUUGACUUUUUUUUCUAACUUAAUCAAAAAUUAACCCCGUUUGUAAGAAUUUCGAGUCUGACCUUUUUUGGUCACGCCAACAUCUCUGGCGUUUGGCUUACACAAGAGACGCCAGGGAUGACAGCGUUUGGGCCUGGCCCACACUUACCUAGCUCGCACCGAAGUGGCAGAGCCAAACGCCAUAGAUCUUGGCGUCUGGAGCCCUUGUAAACACAAAAAGUAUAGGUCUUGUCAUUUGUGAGCUGCGUAUGCGGGAACUGCGCUGCAUGCAUGCAUCAUUUGUGGACUUGCUUCCGUGUAAUUUUUUUAAUUAACUUUUGUGAUUAAUAAUCUGCUUGUUCGCCGCAACCAACGGCAAUUAUUUUCUCUACAACUCUACAAGUACACUUUGGGCAAGGCGUGAGGGAGGAGAGAGGAUUUCUAGGAGAUAAAUACGAGGAUUCGGUUUUCAAGUAAUUAAUCGCAUGGAUUGAUUUGUUGGCUAGGACUUGCCUACACCAAAGAUGAAGGCAUUGACAUAGAAGCAAAUUUAAAGUUCAUGUGUAUUUUAGAAAAUAAUAUGGCUCUAUGUCCACCACAAAAUGUUAUGCUAAAUAAAAAAAUAUGCGGUAUACUAUUUUUAAUCAUAUGUAUUAUGUAAACUAAUGAUUAAUGUGCUUUCUAAAAACACAUAUAUUAACAGCCACAGAUCCCCCUCCCCCCCAAUAAAGAAUAACCACAUAUUUAUGUUGUUUGUAUAUUAUAUUAGAUCGGUACACAAAGCUAAAUUUGGAGCAUGAGCUAGCUCAUGAUUUUAUUUGAUGUUGGAUCAAUAUAUGCACAGGUCCAAAUCUGAUGUUAAGAGCGUCUCCGUCAAGAACACGGCACCGACGCUCUCUUCUCCGAUGAUCCAGCCAGACCACAGAUGAGAUCACCACUCUAGGUCCCAUCAGCCAUAGUCGGCUUCACCAACGCUGUUGUCGUGCAUCGCCUGACGAAGGCCGCCACUCGAGCACACAUCUCCUACGCCGCCCUCCAGUGCUUCCACAAUAACACCCCCCCUUCUCCGUCUGGACCUCACCGCCGAUGGCAGUGUCGCACGGGUUUUGCCCGGCGACGCGCCUUGGCGACGGCGAGAGUGGAAGAUGACGAGUGGCGCAUCUUUGGAUCCCCUGCUUUUUUUUACAUAGACCACAAUACAUGUAUUUUAUCGGCAAAAAAAAUUCAUGCGGCCAGAAGACACGUUCGCAGUCUUUGUCAAAACAAUCAAUUUAAUAUUUUUUACUAUAUUUAUUUAGCAUAACAUUUUGUGGUGGACAUAGAGCCAUAUUAUUUUAUAAAAAACGCAUGAACUUUUAAUUUUUUUAUGUCAAUUCAAACUUAGAACGAAUUGGUAGUAGGUUAAUUAGUCUUAUCAGGGAACUGAAAAGAAUUGGUUCAGAAAAAAGGGAACUAAAAAGGAUUAGUAGUAUGUUUCAUUUAGCAAAAAACAUCGGUAGUACGCUUUCAUUCUAGAACAUACGAAACCAUCCAAACAGAUAUGGUUACAAUGUUGCUUAUUGGGCUGUGCUAAAUAAGUUAGUUACACGGCCACUUAACACGGGAUUAAUUCAUCCGAACUGCAUGUAUUUCUUAAAAGAACACAGCCAGGGAAGAAAAAGCACGACAUGAUACUUUGGCUUUCCAGCUCCUCACAUAAUUAAUCAGCCGCACUAACGAAUACCAAACCAGAAUAAUCAAAAGGCUCAGCAUGCUUUUCUUGUUUACUCCUGAUGGAAAGGCUCAAAUCGACAAGCCCUGUGGCGUUUGUUCCAGACUCCAAGUUCUAUGGCGUUUGGCUCUGCCACUUCGGCGCCAGCUGGGCAAGUGUGGGCCAGGCCCAAACGCCAUCUUCCCUGGCGUCUCCCGUGCAAGCCAAACGCCAGGGUUGUUGGCGUGACUAAAAAAGGUCAGAUUCGAAAUUCUUUUGCAAACUGGGUCAAUUCUUGAUUAAGUUAGGAAAAAAAGGUCAAAACAAUAAUUUCGUCCGCAUGCAUGCAUACGGCCAGCAGAAAUCAGCUGGUGCAUCUCCACAUCAACGGCAUGCACCGAUCUCCGUACACUGUCUCAUCCUUGUUUUUUUUUAACACUUCUCCAUCCUCAACUGCUCAUCGAGAUAAGUUGUGCGUGUAUGCGUUCAUAGGGGCUGAGUGGAUGCGCGUAUAUAUGAACGCUUGCGUCUGUACUGUGUUCAAAAAAAAAUCCCUCAUUCUUGCUCUCAUAAUCCAAUCAUCACCUAGAAAGUCAGAUGCGAAGAACAACCGAAAUAAUUCCUCGCAACGACAUUGAGAUCGAGGAACCAUCAAGCCCAACCAGCAUGUGCACCAUAGACACGUGGACAGGGCGGUGAGAACUUUCUCCUCGUUGCACAGCCUUCUUCGACAUGACAACGUUGCAUCUGGCAUGAAAAUGAAAGAAAGUAGGUGCAUAACCACGGUUAAGCCUCCAUCAGUAAGGGCAUUUCUAACUGAUCCCAUAUAAAAUAGAGGAGUAUCCAAACGAGUAAUCCUUAUUGAAGUAUUUAUACUUCACUAAAUUUUGGUUAAUUCUAGCCGAUCUUCUAAACUUAGCGGAUUAAAAUGUAAAUUUGCAUAAAUUCACUCUAGUUUCAACCAAAAUGUGCAGGCAUUUAAAUAUAAGUUCAACAUAGAUAGUCUUAAACAACCGAACAUUAAACAUAAAUUCAAACAUAAACUACAUUAGACUUAAACACAUUAGACUACUCAUCCUCCUCGGCCAUAGUGGAGGUUGAGCCAAUCCUUCAUCGACAGGCCACCCUCGGUCAAACAUGGGUCCAUGCCGGUGUCAUCGUCGUUACAAUCGGGGAAGAUGCUCCGCCACUCCUCGACGUUGAACUCCUCCUCCUCGCCGUCCUCCUUCCUCCCUCCUCACCAUCUUGCACCUCUUCGUCGGAGAUGACGAUGACCUCCCUGUCAUUGUCAACGAAUAUCGCCCGCUACGCCUCCACGAGCUCAGUGUGCUGGCGGUAGAGGUCCUGCACGUAUGCCUCAUCGGUGGCAUCCACCUCGAGGCGCUCCCUCGCCUCUUGGUCAUGCCAAGCCAUCGUCGCACUCACCACACCCAGCGGUGGGAGGAGGUGGACCGGCACCCUCCCGAACGAGAAGUUCAACCAGGCGGCAGAGCCGUGGAGCCGGACUUGCCACCAGUCGUUUUCCAUCGCCACGGUCGAGCUUCGUCGUGUGAAAUGACCCGGCCCACUUCCUCUGGUGGGUCUCCCGGCCGGUAAUCUCCUCCACCCAUGUCCCCCACGAGUGUUGCCGGACGCCGAGGUAGGUCCUCUACAGUGGCCGCGGCGGAGGGAGCUCUGGGAAGUCGGCGAAUCAGGUGGGGGCAGGCAGGUAGGGCGAGUGGCUGUGGCUGCUCGAGGAUGCGCCGCUAGAUGAUGACCCGCGGGUGACCUUCGGCCACCGCGCCCGACCAUUGGGAGACGAGGGGGUGGCGGGGCAAGGGGGAGAAGAGGAGGUAGAUGAGGGGAAAAUAGGGAGAUAUUUUUGUACUUGGCUGCCAAGGGGUGGAGUAAAUAUAGGAAGAUUCAUGAUGGCCGAGUAUAAUUGUUACUCUAUUAUGGCCUAUUGGGGAUCAGUUAGGUAUAAAUUAAAGGAAUAAAACCAGGAUUUUACUUCUCUAACAAGUUAUUGAGGAUCGGUUAGAAAUAACCUAAGGUGGGGAAGGCAUACUAAGCCGUGUGUCUUUCUAUUGAUUGACUAGUAGAACGCCCGUGCGUUGCCACGGGCUUUUGAAAAAAAAUUAAGGUACUACUCACUGAGCUAAGAUUACCGAGAACAAUGUCACAUCUUUUUCUUCAACAUAAUCAGCUAACACACAUCAUAGUAUCGAACACAAUAAUCUUAGAGCACCUAUAGCCCGUCCCCUCAAAUCUACGGACACGCCCUGUCGUUGACCGAAUAUGAGAGAGAAGGAAAAAGGUGACCCAACCAGACCCCUUAUAUCAUCACCAUAAGUCCGGGUUGUCUGCAAACUAUCAUAUUAACACCCAACAUAUGAAGGAUAUGAAGCUCGCAACACCUAGUCAAUCCGCCAGGUAGGACGCCCGUCCGUUGCUAUGGGAGAAGACAAAAAAUGCCACAAACACGUUACAACAAGCACUAAAGUUUCUCUUCCUGCAUCGCACCUUUUCACCACUGUGAUUCCCAAACAUUUGUCCAAAUCAAAAUGGGCAUAGAACAUAAGUACAAAUGUUUGGAAGCUAAAAGUAUACUACAUAAUUUUUCACUUAUAACACCUUUGUCCCUAUUUUUAACAGUGACUCGCUAUUGCAGCAUAAACUAAUUCAUUCUCGAAAUAUUCAGAAGAAAACAUAUUGACCAAGCAAAAAUCACUUUGGCACAAGAACCUUGUGACAACUAUAGAAAAAAGAUUGAGAUGGUUACUCUCAUAGAAGACAGCUUCAAAUAUAAUUUUAGGAAAUAAAUUUGUACAAUAUUGGCCUACACCGAAAGAAAAAAGCUCAUACACACAGUAUCAUGAAGGAAACGAUUCCUCGUUAUCUCAGUUCCAAAUGGAAACUGGUAUCAAUUCACUAAGAUUUAAAUGAAUGAGAACUGUUAAAUCCAUGUCUAUCUCCAUUUUUAGCGAUUUCAGCAGCGGGCUCACGGGUAUCUACACAACAGAAAUAUAGAAUAUGAGUUUCGGUUCACUUUAUGUGACAAUUAUAGAAAAGGAACAACCACAAGAAAAAACAAACAAACAUGAGAAAGCACAUGCAAGCAAAUAAGCCUUUAUUUUUUCUGAUGAACAUAUGAAACAUCAUAGUAACUAAACACAGUAACAAACCCAUUUGAAGGUAACCAUAUUAGUGCCCAUAGUGCAUAGUUAUUUGAUCCAUAUUUGUUGUCACGGGCGACAAGUACAUAAAAAUUGAUGAACGAUCAAAGGGUAUUUGGUCAAAGGAUAGUUAGUUCUACUUCACAAAUUGCGACCAUGAUACAUUACAAGUUUCAUAGAUUUUUGGUUUAAUGAAUGUUCAGCUAAGAAGAAAAUGAAUAAAAUAUCAACAUAUUAAUCUCUACUAUUAAACCACAGUUGGUACGUUAAACGGUACCCACGUAUCCACCACUCGCGUGACCUCCCCACAUCAUCGUUUUUUUCAACCGAACCCAUUUCCCGAUGCAAGGAAAAAAGCCCUACAACACCGACCACCCUUUUCCUUCUCCCUGGUACGACCCCCACAUGCACGAUUGCUCCUACGGCGCCGAUUUUGACCAUGUCUCCCAUGUGAUGUUGCUUUGUCCCGCUCCCUCUGCCAUCCAGACGCACUCCCUUGCCGCCUCUCUGCUUCAAGGUGUGUGCUCUGAAACCGUCACCUCCUUUCUUCAGCCCGUGGCAUCUAUUCUUCAAUGGAUCAUCUCAAUUUUUCGUCCUUCACUGAGUCCGGCGGCGACAACCAAAGAACCAAGUCCCCAUCCAUUUUUUGAGGGCAUGCAAUUAACGAAGGGGAUGUGUGGCCCAUGAGGUUGCUGCCAUCAGCCAUCGAGGCUGCUGAAAUCUAAUGAAAAAGUGCCUACGGUACAGUUCAUUUCCACUCUCAGUUGGUAGAAAUAAUCAAAUUUCAAGCAUACAAAUUCAAAAUGAAAAAGUCUAUUAUGAGCACCAGAAAGAUAGAAAUGAUCCAUUUAUUUCAAUGCAUACUACUACACCUUGGUGCUUAAAGACAAAACUUAGUUGCAAACAGUGCAUUACCUAGGAAGAACAUUUGGUGUACUGAGCAUAACAAUUCAAAAUUAUUCUAUGGCUAUGAAGUGCCUAAAUCUGAGGUUGCAACAUGAAAGCAAGUACUGAUCAAAUUGACAAAUUAUAUGGUUCAUUCGUUCAUAGUGAACACAGAAUUAAAAGAACUGCUAGAACUCAUGGUGGCAUUCUAUAGAAGCAUCAUUCUUCUGCAAGUAUAGUGUUCUUAAGAAAGCAUGGUGUAGCCAAGAGAUCAAGGUGUCAUACAAGCAUUAUUUCACAGCACAAUCUAGGGAAAAAAUCCUUCGUUCUGGAAGAAUGGCAACCCAAGAUGUACCGACGACAAGAUCCACAGUUGCUUUGCAUUACUCCAAAUCAAGAGUUGCGAUAGCAACCUGUUAAUCUGACAUACCUUUAGAUAGAAGCUCAACGACAAUUUCCUUCUGAACCCAUAUUGAGAAAAAUAAGCCAGAUUUGAAUUUUAAUAUCUUUGCCAGCAUUUAUUUUCAACUGUGCAGGCAAAAUAAAACAUGAAUUUCACACCGCAGAAACUACUAAAUGUGAAAUUACAGAAUUUUAGCAUUUGAAUAUGAGAGAAAUGUAAAGCAUUGUACAUGAUAGUAAUCGUGUUUCAUAGAACUUUGUCAGUGGUAGUGACAUGCCACCGACACCAAAUGCCGUUUAUAAUGUACUCCAUAAUGAUCUUUUUUCAGUUUAUCCAUAAUGAUCUACAACCAUUCCUUGAGCUUCACAUGGUACCUGGUCCUGAUACCAACAUCAAAACAAUGCAGAGUAUUGCUAUGUUUUAAAGUGUGCUUGUCUUAGCAAGGCGUGCCUCGGUUUUCGUUUACACCAUGGUAAACCUCCCACUCUCUAUAUCUCUCUCUAAACAUCUCCGCCUCCAUCAUCGCCCCCGCUCCCCUCACUAUGUCUCUAUGCACUGCCACUCCCCUGCUACCCAAUGUUGGUCCCUGUUAAACUGUUUAACCAUCCGUGAAUUAAACACUAUGCCUUGAAAAAUACUUUCCCUUUAUAAUGAAACAUGCCUACUUCUUUUCCUAAAUAUCAUUCAUCAAUUCAAAUUUGUGAGGUUUCUCUACUACUUAAAUAGUGCAUUAUAUCAACAUAAACUUCAAGUGAGUACAAUAAUUAAGUGAGGUAGCUACAUGCUUGCAUUUCACCUAAAAAUGAUUAAAAGAAGUACUAUUUCGCUCUAAGGUGUCAUACAAACAACAAUAACUCAGUGGACUUUCUGUACAAUUUAGAAGAAAAGCGCCUAGUAUAUCACCCCACUCGACCCUGCUUGGCAUAGAAGAUGGUAGACUCAAAAGAUAUACUAUUUCUAUUCCUUAGCCUGAUGGGUCUGUCUCUCUCAAUAUUACCUCCAUCCCACUAAAACGCAUGCAUUAUGAAUCAUGAACAGGGUGGCUAAUGCAUUUCUGUUACAAAUAUGCUACCAGAAAAAGCUAUAUGAAAUAAGCAUGAUAAACACGAACCAUAUAUUCUCUACAAAUAACACAUGAAAACAAAAUAAACUACAACUUAUAACAGAUUGUACUGAAGAUAAAUCAUCACCCUUCACAACAUGAAUUCAUUGUGAAGCAUCAAUAUUUACAUAAAACAAAUUCCAUGUCAUGCUUAAUGCAAAAGUCUGCACUUAUAUCAGCAAAAAAGAACUUAAAACAAUUUUGAAGGGACAACAUCGCUAUCAGGUGGCAACUCUCCUGCAGCAGUGGCAACAAAAGCAAAUAUGAAGAAGUCUUUACUAACCCCACGUGCGAUUCUGAAAAUGAAAAGAUGGAGAUUGAUGUCGAACAUCCGACACUGACGAAGAAGAUGGUCAGGCCAAUCGCAUAAUGUACAGUACAAAAUUUAUGACAAUGACAGUUUAUUUCGAUCAUCUAUCUUUCCAAAAUACACAACUUCUUGUGAGUAAAGUUUUGCCAUCUUUUCUUGUUAUUUAAAGAACCAAACUGCAAGAAGCAACAAGUAGUCAAGCACAAGUUAGAAAUUGUAUUGGACGUACAGUUUUGCCAUCUCAAAUUUCUAUCUUGCUAUUACUAAGCUCGCGGUUGCACUUGAGAAAACGGUGGCAAUAAGGACCGAGGAAACAGUUACUUAAAACAAAUUAUACACUUAUGUAUACGGAAAGAGGAACCAGACUUGUCAAUAUGAUGUUGGACUGUCACUACUUGUAAAACUGAGUUUUCUUCUCUCUAGUAAUUUCUUCCUGGAAAGAUGAUAAAGUAACUCAUGUCUGCUAAAAUACAAAUAUGUGGAUCAAUAGAUAAUAAAGUGACAACGAAAGUUAUAUGAAACUCGCAAAAGAGAUGUUAACCUCAGAACCUUUACUGGAUGGUUGGUGCAACGGGCAGCACAACGAAACCGGGAAGUGAGCUGGGAGCGGACGGACGAUCUGGCUCUUCAUUGCGUCGUGCUACAGUCCUCUCGUCCAAAUCAUCCGACAACGCUCAUGUCCUCAUCAGUCAUCUCGUCCAAAUCAUCCUACAACGCUCAUGUAAAAUGUUUUCAUAAAUAAGCACAUGUUCUUGCAGGACAAGAGAUUUAAUUGAUAGCUAACAAGUACCCGAUGCUUGCAAUUAGCCUGGUGUAGCAGGUUCAGCUCCUCAUUGAUGGCCAUCAAGAUGCGCUUUGUAUUGGUAUAUGGUCUCCUCCAGCCUCUCCAACCUCUGUAUCACGAUGCACCGUUGUUCAGUUCACGGUAAACGAAUUUGUUUAGGUUAGCAACAGUGGAAAACAUACGUUGGUGUGUGGCCAAGCAUGGAUGGAGUUACCGUACAUACCUUUCAUAAUGUUCUUCUGUAGCUCAAUGUUCGCCGUGCAUCUUAUGUCCACCACCACACACCUGUCCUCGUUCGGUCCAAGCAGGUCAUUUUGCUAGGUUCAGAAGGAGUGAAAACAAGAUAUGGCUUAAUUGCUAGGUUCAGAAGGAAUAACAAGAAGUUGCAUUGAGUUUCCAGUAAAAGGCACCUUAAUUGCACAGUGUGGCACAAUCUGCUUUUUAGUAUUUUCCAUUUUAAGAAAAGCUUAUUUGAAAAUAACAAGAAGUUGCAUUGAGUUUCCAGCACAAGGCACCUUAAUUGCACGGUGUGGCACAAUUUGCUUUUUAGUAUUUUCCAUUUUAAGAAAAGCUUAUCUGAAAAUAACAUACAUCUGGUACUUAGAUGGCACUACUUCACUGCAAGUCUGCAAUAUACAAUAUGCACAAAACAUAAAUUCCUUGAAAUGCUUUGUGCACUUACUAAUUAUGAUCAACAUCAGCUAUGAAGUUUGUUGUAAAAUGUACUCUUGUUAAAUCUGGAACUAAGUUAUGUGUAUGCAUUUAACAGCAUAAACUUAAGGGCUUAAAUUAAGAAAAAGGAAAAAAAUUGAAAAUUUAACCACCUUGGCUGAUCCAUAAUAACAUAUACAUAGAAGUUGCCAGCCAACUCUUGUUGAUCCUACUUACCACAUGAACUUGUUCACAGUUGAGUAAGCGUACUGAAUUUAAUAAUAUCAAGUAAUGUGGUAUAGGAAAAGGGGAAGCUUUAGAGCCUGAAUAAUGACUGACAAAAAUAGAGAUAUCUCCAGCUUUUUCAUGUUGGCACCCUGACCUCCUCGUAAUUGAUCUGCCUGCCAAGUUCUCUGCAAUCACCUGCAGGAACACAACCACGCAAUGUGUACAUUCACUUACAACUCAGGCUCACAUGGAUAUUGGUGAGGCAAUGAAAUAGAUGAUGCCAAUGAAAUCAGUUUAUCUCGCGGAAAUCAUCAGGGACGAACACCUGAUUUCGAAAUCCCAAAGAAUGAAAACAACAACGCACUCGGACUGGCCGAUGGCGGUGGAUCUUGCAUCCUCAUUAGCACGACCAUGCUCAGGUCCUCAUCUGCCGAGGAGGCACUUUUAUACCGCAUCAGCACGAAGUGAAACAGUGGCGCCAGCAUGACCACCUCCACCUGACAUCAACAUAUGUACAAACAGAUUAUGUGAACUGAAGUCUCUAUACUCUGCAAAGUGUGACAUAGCUCAUAAUUCAGAUGAAUUUAAUCCUACAGAUAUGCAUAUCACAACAAUGAAUAAUCUUUUCCAUGCAUCCAUGGAUAACUCAAGCUUGCCAAUAUCUGGUUAUUGAUCAAGAGUGAAGGGACAACUCCAAUCUACAAUAAACCUGAUUAGGCUGCUGACAUGAAUGGAGCAAUUUGCAGUGAUCUGGUCGCGUCACCGGGCUGUCGACGGGCGUCGAUAAGGAGUCGGCGUCGUCGGGCCGCCGACGUUGAGAUAGAAGACGGAGGUUCUGCUUCAGACUAUUGGAGCAGCAAAAUUGUCCAAAUCAAUAGAGAAACUGAAGAUAUUGCAGCAAAAUUGUCAAAAUUAUAUUAGCCACUAAAACUCCGAAGUCUUGCAGCAGCAAGAUAGCAGAAAGAGAUGGGCUGGGAACAUAACAUAAUUUGCUCUUCCAAUAUGUAUUCCGAACUGAUCUAAAAAGUAGAUAAUUAAUCCAAUGUAUUCUGUUUGUACAUCAACAUUUGACACGCCCAACUCGCUGUAUAUGUCAUUUACCGGAUGUUGAAAUUACAGUUUGUAUCUUUGUUCUGACGCUAUACUUGAAAUCUUUGUGUUUUCAAGAAAUAAUCUAUCACACUUCUACAAAGGAAUGAAAAUGUACAAUUCUGUUUGCGGACAUGCUUCUUCUACUUCUAUUUAAGGAUUGCAUUUACUUUUAUUUUAAAAGAUAACACCGACCAAAGAUCUGAGAAUGCAUUAGUACGUACAUGAUAAUUAAAAUGUAAAUAUUCAGACCAAAACAUCAGAUCAAAGGAGAUUAUAUUCACAUAAACUUGACUGACAUUAAAUUGAAAAAAGCCAUGUAGUAUAAGACCACAGCAACAACAGACAUGUAGUGCUAGCUUCCAAGGAUUCAUUUCAGUACAGGAAGAAUUAAGGGGGAGUUUUGUUCAAAAUAACAAUCAAGGAGCGGCCGUUUACAUACUGAUGGACACAUACAAAUGGACAACCAAGGAACGGCCAUAUAUUGCAAGUGCCAUUCACAUCCAGACGCAUACAGACUGAAUACAAACUGAACCAAAGAACCAAACCAAGAUGCUUAUCCAUAUGUAUGUAUGUAACAGAUGCUAGUGCCAUCCAGAUUUGGGGGUAGAGAGAGGGGAAGCUCACCACGUCCACGUUUCAAGUGUCGCAUACAGGAGGAGGCGAAUCCACGAGCGUGAGGAUGAGCUGGACAACGCCGGAUGGGUGGGCGGGAUUUGGGGACGGGGGUGCCUGAGCUGUAUCGGUGCGCGUCCUUGGAGGUAGAGGACGAGAAGGAGCACCGGCGUUCGCCGCCGCCAUCAUCGACUGGGACAAGGUUGUCGCGCCCGCGCUCAUCCCGAACAGCCGCUGCAAGGCGUGCCGCGUCUGCACAUCCUACGGGAGGAGGGCCUCCGUGCGGCCCUGUUCCCGGAGCACCAUCCAGCAGGUGCCGAUGGGGAUCGGGAGAGAUAGAAGACGAAGCAGCGGCGGCGGCCCUCGAUGGAAAAGGGGGAAAGCGGAGGUCGGGAUUGACGCACAUGGGCCUCGAAAUACCUGUGUUCGUCCUCCAAACGAGGCAAGGCGGGCAGGGUCUCCUCCAAUCAGGGCAACGCGACCACGCCCUUGGGGAUCCGCGGCGGCGGCGAGCGGCGUCUCUCGUGAUUCGCGACGGCGGUGGCGUGUGGCAUCCCUGGGGAUUCGCGGCGGUGGCGGCGUGCGGCGUCCCCGGGGAUUCGCGGCGGCGGCGGUGGUGUGCAGCGAUCUGGGUAGGGAUCGUGGAGGGGCGUGCGGGGACGAAUAAAAACCUGACAAAAAAAUGACGAAAAAAACCCGACGAAACUAGGAGGUGGGAGGAUAGAUGAAAAAAAACCAGCGAAAAUUAACCGGCGGACUAUUCACUAACUGCUUCAUUAGGAGUAGAGAUACCCUCCCAUCGCCGUCUGAAUUAGAUGCAUACACCGUGCGUGCAUGGAACCGGAUCCUCUAACAUUGAGAAGCAAAGUUAGAGAAGCUACAAUACCCUAACUUUCCUUCUUUCUAUCCAUGUGAUUAUGGCUAAAACGAUUUAAAUUAAUUUGCAAAUUGAUGAUCUACCGUGUACAUUUAUAGUACUCCCUCCGUUUCUUUUUACUCCACAUAUAAGAUUUGGUCAAAAUCAAAUUACACAAAGUUUGACCAAAUUUACAUAAAAAAUUAUGAAACAGUACUAAAACUAUAUAGUAUGAAAAUAUGUUUCAUGGUGCAUCUGAAUAUAUUGAUUUCAUAUUGUGAAUGUUUAUAUUUUUUAAUAUAAAGUUAUUUUUUAAUAUUUCUCUUGUGCCCUGUGCGUGCAAAAAGCUACUACCACUCGCCAUCUAGGUGUAUUCAGUAGCUAGUGCUGCCUUGGCCUGGCUAGCUAAGCUUGCUACUGUUACUGACGGAGGCUACGGCUAGGCGUAUAGGAGCACUAGUAGUGCUCUACAGUGGCACAGUGAUGUGAAGUGCUCGUUUGUUCCGACAUGAAGACCUGUCUGUCUGUACGUGCAUGCUGCCAUGCUGCAUAUGCGUGCGCGGGGGGAAAGCUACGAGCAUGCAUUGGUGCCAAGUCUGAAUGCUUGUGCGUUCCCAAAGAAAAUCCAGUGAUCACGAUCUUCUGCACUCCUGGCUGCCUUGCUCUCCUCUCUUUGGAAACGGAGCUCCAUCAAUACCCACAGAGGUUCGGCGAAAGAACAAAAGAAAAGAGAUCGUCGGCGGCCUCUGCUGCAUGCGGCUGCGAUGAUGACGACGAGUAAAGAGGACGUCGUGUCUCUGGGUAGCUGAACUGCUGAAGUAGGUCGUGUAGUAGUGAAGCACUAUGCUUUGUAGUUGCAUCGGUCGAUUGGAGUUCAAUGUGCCCGACAACUACAAGACCCCUUGCUUCCGAACGCAAUUUGAUUUGCACACGUCGGGCCAGCUCUAAUUCCUCCAUCCAACCUCUCUCUCUUUUUCUUCCUUGUGAGUCUAUGUUACCACACUAUGCUGUUCAUUUUUAUUUUCUUUACAACUUUUCAGUCCUUAACUAGUACACUACACAUCGUAAUGAUCAUUUGACUAGAAAUUCUUGGCCGUGUCAACCGGUUUCCAGCGUAGACCAAUGCCGAAAUGGAGGACGCCACGCCACGGCCAUCGGAGGAGAGGCAAAAGGGUGAAUGGUGCGUGGGACGGGUCACCGGAGAUGGAGAAGGUGGGCGCAGUACACAUGUGGCCGGGGUCGGCGGGUCGCCUGCUGUGUAGGGUACGGUGCGGCUCUCAACGACGGCUGCAAUGCGCCACCCAUGCUUGCUCUACUGUCGCCGGGACGUACGUGUGCGAGAUGUCAAGCUCACAGGCAGCUCUCGGGAGUGCAGGCAUGACUAGUGUUCCUCCGCCGCCUCCAUGCCGGCCGGCAGGCACCGCUGGGUGAUCUGAUCGAUGUGAUCGGUGAUCGGUACGGCACGCACGUAGCUUCGCUCGCGUCUCACGUCGUUAUGAUCUUCCGGCAGUCGAUCGAUUCAUGUCGGGGGUUUCGACCGGCUUGAAUUUAUUUGGUGGACCGUGCUAUACCUCGCUAGCACAUCCAUCACAACAACGUCGCGUCAUGCAUUUCCAUCUUCUGCUACACUCUCUUUUUUUAUUGCGGACUCAAUACUUGUAUUACUCAAUCACAGUAUCGUUACAAUCUUCAGCAACUAUCUCCAACACUUCUGGAGGACCCGACCCUUACCAAGUCAUGGUCCUAUUAUUAAUCCGACCAAAAGCAGCUAACCUGUCACUCGCUUUAUUUUGCGACCGAGUGACCUGAGUAAUACAAGUUUGAUGAAGACUCAAAAGAAAUCUAAUUUCAUUCACUAGGGAAGAAUAUACUGAGCGAUCCGUGCUCCCACAUGUGAUCAUAGAAACUGCAACCGAAGAAUCCAUCUCAAUUUCGAUCGGUAGUGCUGUACGUUGAAUCGAGGAAGAUAAACCCUCCAUACACGCACAUAGCUCAGCCUCCAACGCAUCCCUGCAUGAAUACAAAGCUCUGCAAGCUGAGAAGAUAAUUUUCCCUGUAGCAUCCCUCAAUAUCAUCCCCGCUUGCAUCUUCAUUCGAGCCAAAAGCACCAUCAGUGUUAAGUUUAGUCCAGCCCUGGCACGGUUUGAUCCAACCAAGCUGCCGUGGCACUUGUCUAACCGGCUGCACCCCAUCGUCCAUGUUAAUAUAUGAUUUACCUUUAACAGGAUCAGCUCCAAUAUCAUGUUUGAUCGCCAUAAGGGACUCCAGGUAGCUCUGCAAGAAUCUUCUGCUACACUCUCACUUAGUAGUACAAACGUGACAACUCCGCACACCUCCGCAACUUAUCCUUUAAUCCAUUAUAUGCUCCUUAAGUUUGGAGCUCUCACAAUCAAGUGAGUUGUGCAAUUUGAGAUUUAACAUGCGAUAUUUGGUUCGGUCAUGUGCUCGGCAGGUCCCUUUGGUCAGUGCAUGAUUUUUUUAAUUAUAGAUCUCUACAAUUUUUGUGCUCCUCGGUGAAGACGCUUAUUACACCUAGGCCGAUCUGAUAUCCCCGUGUCGCGUAGUUGCUCUUUUCAGCACUGUGUGCUGGCUUCGCAUCUGCUCUCUCCGUCCGGAAAUACUUAUCAUCAAAAUGGAUAAAAAAAUAUGUAUCUAGACGUAUUUUAGUUCUAUAUACUACCUUUUUAUCCAUUUUGAUGGGCGCAUGCGGUACUUUACUACUCUAAAUUGUGCCAACUAAUUAGUAGACCAGGUGAAAUAUGGAGUAGCAUAUGUAUUGACGAAGUGGAACUGGAGGGGUAAAAUUGUAAGAUUUUUUUAGCGAAAAACCCUUGCGCGCGAGUAUUGGGGAAAAAUCCGUAAAAAGUUAUACACCAACUAAAAAAAAUCUGUAAAAAGUUAUAAUCUAGUGCUGCAGCUUAAUUGGCGAUCGAGUAGAAGUGACUAAUGGCAUGAUCGAUCAGCUAGCAAUGCAUCUCCGUGCGGGAUGCGACCGGUAAGGGGCUGGCGCCUGUCACAUCUUGCCUAGCCCCGCCAAUUAUUUUAACAAUGCAAACAGUUGUGCACCACAUGAGGAACUUUGCCACUCUAAUAAAUAGGAAGGCCAUGGCAUCUUUAACCAUGCUCAUCUUAUGAUCGAUUUGAAACGAGAGAAAUGCACGUGUUUUCAAUAACAAAGGGACACCGCCCACGAUCUUGUUAGACAACAUCAAGAAAGAGACAUCACUUUGGGUGGCCGCGGGAGCUAAGAAGCUAGGGGUGCUCAUGUCGGGAGAGUAAUCCCUUUCAUGUAAUAAGGGGUGUUAUUUGUAACACAGCUAAAACUUUCCUUCUCUCAUAAUUAAUAUACGAGGCAAGUCUUUUGCCUCCGUUUCAAAAAUAAAUUAUACUCUUGCACCAUUAUAUCUGGUAAAUUUACGAUGUAUCAGAAAAAUGUACUAAGCAUCACGUUCAUAUUGAUGGGGUAUUAGGAAUGUAUCUACAAAUAAUUCACACGGGUUUUAGCCACAACAAACCCCGGAAGAAUACCUAUGCAUUCCAGUUUUGCUAUUUCACAUCUAGAUGUGAAAUAACUAUCUCACAUCUAAGCUAUGGUCCAUUGGAUCAAUUUGUCUUCAAGAUUCGCGCAAUGUCCUGUUUCUGUCUCGUGCGCUGGCUCGCGCCUCGUUGUUGCGCGCGGCGGGCCAUGUACAAAUUGUUUACGAGCGGGCGGGCCGAUGCCUCUUUUAUUUUUCCUGCAUUAUUGGAUUGGUGGGCCGUUUGUUUGUCCACAGCAAGUGUAUCGCCACUGUCCUCGCAUUCCUCAUCCUCUCCGUCUGGGCGGCGAUUCCUUCAGGCGGCGGCGAUUCUGGUGACAGAAGGCGGAGAGGAGAGAGCCGCAGCAGGUUCUUGCCCCCCCUCCCCCCCCCCCGAGGAGCUGUUCCUGAUUUGUUGUUGUUUGAAGAGUUUACCCCUCACGGAGCUGUUCCUGAUUUGUUUUGACUGUCCAUUUUCUUGUUUUUGUCGCACCUAGGGUUUCUUGUUCGUAGGUAGAAACAUCAAGAACUCGUUAUCUAAGGAUGGCAUGACAUAGUUGCGUGGAGGGAGGAGGGGAAAAUGUCUGAAACCUCAUAUUUUUGCUGUGAACGGUGCCAUAAGAUAGGUGUAGUUUUCUUAGAAGUUCAGAGAUACAGUUGUAGGCUUUUUACUAGUGAGGUGUUGUAGAAUUAAAGUUUUGCUACUGAACGGUGGCAUCAGAUAGUGUAGUUUUCUAGAGUUCUAGAUGGAUUAUUUUAUUAUUAAUUUUUGUUAGGAGAUAUUCUGGUGUCCAAAAUUUAAUUUUUCCAUUUGUUCAGUUUACACAUGUGGGUUUCAGUAACAGAUUGGUGUUGUUUUCAUUCAGAGUUAGCUUUGGGUUUUUUUUACCCAUGUGGCCGUUGAUAGUUGGUAGUACAUUUUUUGUCCAGAUGUAUUUUUAUCUUGAGUUUUUCUUGUAGUGUAGUUCUUUCUUUAUUGUCUGGUAGUUCUUUUGUUGGCAGUGUAGGUGUUGGUUCUGUAGUGUACUUCUUGUUUGGUAGUUAUUUGUCAGGAGAGUACAAUGAGAUGAUGCAAAAUGCUACCAGUGUUGCGUUAGUCACACGGAUUCAAGUUGCUUUAGGAGCACAAAAUGGGCAACCUCCACCCUCCUCUUUUUUUUAGAAUCAGCAAGUGAUCUGAAAUUCCAAUGUCACAUAAUUAGUUCAUUUUGAAUUAAGGAGGGACAAAGGGUACUCUCAGUGAGUUUUUUCCUUGUGCAUACGUACACACAUGUGUGGCUCUUGUUCUCUCUGUUGUCUAGCUAUCUUAUUACCAAUAAAUCUGGGGGUAGCACAUAUGUUUUUAUUUGUUGUCAUUUUCCUUUUUCAGGUUCAUGUCAUAUAAUCAGCAGUUAAGCCAUUUUUUCGUCGCUCUUUUUUUGGUAAGCAGGUGUCGUGUGGGUUUUGUGGGAACUUUUUCCAGAAUGCCGAAGCUGUUGACUUCAACGUCCAUGGGACGAGUUCCGCUCUUCAGCGGUAAUCCAGUAGCACUUGCAUGUGUGAACUAUUUUAUGAUUUCAUAUUUUUUUAAGCUAGUUUUAUACAUAUCCAUAUCUUAGGUGUUUUCCCUUCUUCUUUUGUCAGAUGAAGUAUGUUAUGUCAUAUGUAAUCUAUCCACAGGGACGGCGAGUAGUGUGGUUGAAAACUUGAUAUAAGUUGCCUUUUCUGCUUUUUUUGUUUUUCGAAGCUAUAGUAUGUUUAUUAGAAAAUACAGAAAUUACAAAAAAAGGCAAAACCAGUUGCAAGUCAACACUCGAAUCGCAACCAGGGGCUUUUUUGGUAGUUGUAGUUGCCCUAGUUGCAAGUCCAACCUCGACUUGCAAACUGAGGUCCGAGUUGCAAGUCAACCCCCGACUUGCAACUCGGAGGGCUUUUUCAUAUUUUCUGUAUUUUGCCCCUACUUGCAAGUCAACACUCGACUCGCAACUCGGGUCUUUUUUUAUACUUUGUAGUUGCCUCAUUUGCAAGUCAAGCCUCUACUUGCAACUGGAGGCCCGUCGACUUGCAACCCCGGGAUUUUUUGUAUUUUUUGUAACAGAUUUGAUAUUUCACAUCUAGAUGUGAAAUAGCUACCUCAUAUCUAACUGCACAGCCAUUGGAUCUCAUCCUAUCUUUAAGAUUCGCGCAAGUUUUUUCUGUCCCGGUCGUGCGUUUCGCUCCCGUCGCUCGUUGAAUCGUCCGUGCGCGCGGCCCAUCUAUAGUGGGUUGUGUUGUUUUUGCCUGUAGCGGGCCGUGUUGCUUUGUUGGGCUGGGGGCUGUUUGUUUGAGAGCAGGUUCUGGAGAGGAGGGGGCGGCGUUCAUUUACCCCACUUUGUCUCCCGAAGCAUUCACUUCGGCCGUUCCCCAUUCCUCUUCUACCAUUCCCCAUUGCUCCGGGUAGUUGGUGCUAGAGGCACAGUGACUUCUGGAGAGGGAGAAGGAGAAGGAGACGCCAUCAAUACUGAGUUGCAUGUUCUUCUCCCUUGUUCCUCUUUUUCUUUUUGUAGUGUCCAUGCGUUUUUGUGUUUCUUGCUCACUGAUUUUAGCAGCAUCUAUCUAGGGUUUGCUCCUCAAUGUCCCCAAAUGUGGGUAGGGUUCGUUAGCACCAUCCAUCUUCUUUGUUUCUUGUUUAUUUGUCCAUUGAUUUAGGGUUCUUUGCCUCGUCCAAUCUCCCGAAAUACGGGGUAGGGUUCAUCAGAUGUUCCAUCUAUCUAGGGUGAGUUGGGGGGGUUUGUUCCUCAAAUGUAUACAGAUAUGGGAAGGGGGGAUUUGAAGUAGAUAAAUUUUUCAGUGGGUUCCAGGGGUUAGGGUUUGGGUUUCAGAUGGUUAGUGUGCAGAGAAUACCUUUUUUUGUUGUAGUUUUUGGGUGAUUUUUAGUGUUAGGGUUUGUAUGAUGAACUAUAGACAGUUUUUUUGUCCUGGUAUACUCAUCAUUCUAUAGAUAGUUGAUUUCUCCUGUUAAGAAUUUUUGUAGAGUAGUGAUAGCUUCUGCAUGCAUUUUCUGUUUUUUUUGUCUUUUGGUGAGUAUUUCUGGAUCACUUGUGGCAGGCUGAAAUCAACUUUUCUAUCACUAUUUAAGCAUUUUGGAUCACUUGUGCCAGGCUCAAGUCAAAUUUUCUAUUAUUAUUCAAGCAAUUUUUUUUUAGAAAUAAAAGAGCUGAAGAUAAACAAAGAAGCAGGUCACAAAUGAAUGAACCUGUACCAUCUCAUUUUUUUGUGCGUAUUUUGAUCUACAUAGGUUUUUGUGCUCAAUCUUCCUAAAAUGUUUGGUAGCAGUUUGAUGUUUUAAGUAGCAAAGUUUUCAGCUGUGCGGCUGCGUAGCUUAUGUGUUCAGAUAAUUGAGUGCAAUGAUAGGAUUUCCUUUUUUGAUAGUUUCAGUCUGGGUUGGCACAUUUUUUUUAAGUUUCCCUAGAUGAAGUCUUGUGUCUGUAGGUAGGAAAUGGGGUACUAACCAUGUAGUUUUUGGUUUGAUUUUUUUUACUUUUAGGUUCUGUUUUUGCUAAGCUAAUUUUCACUCAGAGAUAGUUAUAAUUUGUAUCAAUCAAGGUUUUUCAUUUUAUUGUUUUUUCAGUUUGUAUCCAUGUUUCGUGACAUUUUACUUUUUGUCAGGCAGCGGCGAUUGUGGGGAGCGAGAAGGGAAGUGGAGGGGACCACCAUUCAAGUAUGUGAAGUACAUGCGAUUAAGUUAUAUGUGUUUUUUUUUUCAUUUGUUAGGCUAUAUGUGUGUUCAAUAUACUCUAAUGUGGUGGUAAUUUGUGUGUGCAGAGGAUUAGGUGAAAUGUUCAGUAGUUGAUUUUUGUAGUGUUGUUUGUAGUAUUCUACAUAUAUAAGUUGGAGCAGCAGCUCAUGAUUAUCUUGUUUUUGUAGUGCUCUAUACAUAUAGUAGUUUUUUUCUGGAUGUUAAAGAUGGUAUGCACAAUUGAAUACUAGUUGUGUAAUACAGUCCUAGCUUUUUUGCCUAUAUUUUUUGUAACCUGUUUGUUCGUCACUAAUCUCUAGUUUCUAGUUACUAGUUUUCGACAGUUCUACCAUAAGUACUUUUGACAGUUUUCCAUAGUUACUUACUAGUUACUAUUUUCAGCAGUUUCAUUAGCGUAAGCAUCGGUAUGAGCACCAUCAGUUACAGUCUUGCUCUCGAUCUUUUUAUUAUUAUCUUUUUGACUUUUUCCUAUGAUUCAGGAUGGUGUGCCAAUUUGUUUUGCUCAUUUUUGCAAGGUGGACAAUGGUGAGAGCUUUGGCAUGUUUUUUCCUGAUGCUGACGAAACCUUUACGGUAAACUUUUUGUUUGAUGCGACUUGCAAGUUGAACCUCGACUUGCAACUGGAUCUUUUUGUUUGAUGCCACUUGCAAGUCUGACUUUGCAAGUGGGUCUUUUUUGUUUGAUGUCACUUGCAAGUCGACCCUCGAUGUGCAACUAGGUCCUUUUGUUUGAUGUCACUUGCAAGUCGACCCUCGACUUGCAUCUGGGUCUUCUGUUUUCGUGCCACAGGCAAGUCGACCCUCGAUGUGCAACUAGGUCCUUUUGUUUGAUGUCACUUGCAAGUCGACCCUCGACUUGCAUCUGGGUCUUCUGUUUUCGUGCCACAGGCAAGUCGAGCCUCGACUUGCAACCGGGUCUUUUUGUUUGAUGUCAAAGUCGAGCAUCGACUUGCAACUCGGGUCUUUUGUUUGAUGCCACUUUGCAAGUCGACCCUUGACUUGUAACUGGGUCUUCUAUUUUUUUAUGCCAGUUUGCAACUCGACCCUCGACUUGUAACCGGGUUCUUUGUUUUAUUCCACUUGCAAGCGGACCCUCGACAUGCAACUUGGUCUUUUGUUUGAUGCCACUUGCAAGUCGCCCCACGACCUACAACUAGGACUUCUGUUUUCAUGCCACUUGCAAGUGGACCCUUGACUUGCAACCGGGUCUUUUAUUUCAUGCCACUUGUAAGUGGACCCUCGACUUGCAACUGUGUCUUCUUUUUUAUGCCACUUGCAAGUAGACCCUCGACUUGCAACUGGGUCUUUUUGUUCGAUGCUACUUGCAAGACCCUCGACUUGCAACUUGUCUUUUUUAUAAUGCCCACUUGCAAGUCGAGCCUCGACUUGCGACUGGGUCUUCUGUUUUUCAUGCCACUUGCAACUGGAAACUCGACUUGCAACUAGGUCUUUUUUGUUUGAUCACACUUGCAAGUUGACCCUCAACUUGCAACUGGGUCUUCUUGUUUGAUGCCACUUGCAAGUCGACCCUCAACUUACAACUGGGUCUUCUAUUUUUGAUGUCACUUGCAAGUGGACCCUCGACUUGCAACUAGGUCUUCUGUUUUCAUCCCACUUGCAAGUGGACCCUCGACUUGCAACCGGGUCUUCUGUUUUCAUCCCACUUGCAAGUGGACCCUCGACUUGCAAGUGGGGUCUUUUUGUUUGAUGCCACUUGCAAGUGGGGUCUUUUUGUUUGAUGCCACUUGCAAGUGGGGUCUUUUUGUUUGAUGCCACUUGCAAGUGGGGUCUUUUUGUUUGAUGCCACUUGCAAGUGGGGUCUUUUUGUUUGAUGCCACUUGCAAGUGGACCCUUGACUUGCAACCGUGUCUUUUUUUAUGCCACUUGCAAGUGGACCCUCGACUUGUAACUGCGGUUUUUUUGUUUGAUACCACUUGCAAGUCGACCCUCGACUUGCAACUGGGUCUUCUGUUUUCAUGCCACUUGCAAGUGGACCCUCGACUUGCAACUGAGUCUUUUUUGUUUGAUGCCACUUGCAAGUCGACCCUCAGUUUUCAACUGGGUCUUCUUGUUUGAUGCCACUUUGCAAGUCGACCCUCAACUUGCAACUGGGUCUUCUAUUCUUGAUGCCACUUGGAAGUGGACGCUCGACUUUGCGAUCCAAUUACUUGUUUCAUGCCACUUGCAAGCCGAGCCUCGACUUGCAACUAGGUCUUCUGUUUUCAUACCACUUGCAAGUGGACCCUCUACUUGCUACUGUGUCUUUUUGUUUAAUGCCACUUGCAAGUGGAUCCUCGACUUGCAACCGCGUCUUCUAUUUUUUUGAUGCCACUCUCAAGUGGACCCUCGACUUGCAACCGGGUUCCUUUGUUUUUCAUGCCACUUGCAAGUGGAUCCUUGACUUGCAACUACUUCUUCUAAUUUUUUUAUGCCACUGGCAAGUGGNNNNNNNNNNUGGCAAGUGGACCCUCGACUUGCAACCGGUUCCUUUGUUUUUCAUGCCACUUGCAAGUGGAUCAUCGACUUGCAACCAGGUCUUCUUUUUUUGAUGCCACUUGCAAGUGGACCCUCGACGUGCAACCGAGUUCCUUUGUUUUUCAUGCCACUUGCAAGUGGGCCAUCGACUUGCAACUGCGUCUUCUAUUUUUUUUGAUGCCACUUGCAAGUGGACCCUCGACAUGCAACCGGGUCUUCAAUUUUCAUGCCACUUGCAAGUGGAUCCUCGACUUGCAAGUGGGUCUUUUUUGUUUGAUGCCACUUGCAAGUCGACCCUCGACUUGCAACUGGGUCUUCUUGUUUGAUGCCACUUGCAAGUCGAGGGUAAGUCGACCCUCGACUUGCAACUCGGUCUUUUUGUUAGAUGCCACUUGCAAGUGGACCCCCUACUUGCAACCAGGUCUUUCUUUUUUUGAUGCCACUUGCAAGUGGACCCUCGAUUUGCAACUGGGUCUUUUGUUUUCAUACCACUUUCAAGUGGACCCUCGACUUGCCACUGUGUCUUUUUAUUUGAUGCCACUUGCAAGUGCACCCUCGUCUUGCAACUGCGUCUUCUAUUUUUUUUGAUGCCACUUGCAAGUGGACCCUCGACUCGCAACCGGGUUCCUUUGUUUUUCAUGCCACUUGUAAGUGGACCCUCGACUUGCAACCAGGUCUUCUUUCUUUAUGCCACUUGCAAGUGGACCCUCGACUAGCACCGGGUUCCUUUGUUUUUGAUGCCACUUGCAAGUGGACCCUCGACUUGCAACCAAAUCUUCUUUUUUUGAUGCCACUUGCAAGUAGACACUCGACUUGCCACCGGGUCUUCUAUUUUCAUGCCACUUGCAAGUGGACCCUUGACUUGCAACUGGGUCUUCUGUUUUGAUGCCACUUGCAAGUGGAGCCUGGAGGUGCAACCGGAAUUGAAUUGUUACUCACAACAGCCAGAGGAUUUGAUGUUAUUCCAAACUGAUGGACCGGAUAGGCGAAUGAGUAAGGUGGAAGCAUCUGCAGAAAAUUAGCUUAGUUGCCUUGCAUUUGAGAAAGCUUCAGGUCAAAUACCAUUCCAGGGUACCGGGAGCGCGUAGGCUACGAUCAAAACCUACAAGUAAGUUUAUCUUUGUUUUUGUCCUCAAUCAGGUUUUUCUAAGCUGGAUCACACCUGAGUACCAAUGUAGUCUCCUGCAUAGAUAUCUUCAUUUCUGCAAAAUGCAAUGUUUCAAUGAAUCAAAACUAUUGUUGGAAUAGAUAUUCAAAAGGUUUAUGCUUGUGUUUUGUAUGUGAAGACUGAAAGUUGUAGUUGCUUUCUUUUUUUUUUCAACGAAAGAUUUUGAUCAGAUGUAGGCUACUAUUUUUACAUCAGUUGUAGCUGUCAUCACUUGUAUGGUGAAGACUGAAAGUUGAACCACAACCUGAUACACACCAUUUUUUUACCUUAAAACAAGCAAACCACCGUUAUAUGAUCCUAUUUCUUGCUUAUCAGGUAUAUGAACUUAUUUAUUUAUUUUUCUGCCAACAUGAAACAACACACUCUGAUUUAGUCAUCUAAGGAAUUCUAUCACAGAUGAUUGUAGUUAGUUUCAAAGAUUUUUCUCUCUUUUUUUACUUGAGAAUGGAGUGUUUCAUUUACAAAAUAAGCAAUUUUUCCUAACAAGUUAAGUAUGCUUUGUCAUUUACUCCAGUCUGCAGAUUUGUAUGGAUGGAACUAUGAAUGUGAUUGCUUAUGGCCAUUUUGUCAUCAUGCAUUUCCCCCAUUCAGAAUAUAAAUUUCCUUCUCAACAAUGUUUGUCUGCUCUGUUUCUAGCCCUGUAUUUUUGAUUGAGGGAUCUUGAACUGAUGACAGCCAACUGAUGUGCGUUUUUCCUACACACCAGCCUCUGCUUGUUUCUCCCAUCAACAGAUGGAAAAAGAGAGAGGUGAAAAGUAUCUACAAGGCCGUAUAAGACCAACCUCUGUUUGUUUCUAAAGCUGCAUAAACCCUGUCUGGGUUUUACUUUUCCAGCCACCAAAACUUCUUCUACAAGCAAGCAAGUGUUUUCUGCAGACAAACAAAGCCUGGUCCUUUUUUUCUGUCAAACAAACAAACAUGCAAAAAAAAAAAGCCCAAGAAACAAGGCCCAGGAGGCAGGGUAGUUGGGCUGGGUGGGUUUGGUGGGAGGGACAAAACAAUACAAGCCAAAACAUACAAACAAGUCCACGUGGAGGAGGGAUCAAGAGCAAACAGUCUGUUUUGUUUGUCAACAAGGGUAGUUUUUAGAGGUGAUGUCACAUUUAGAUGUGAGAUAUUAUCUCACAUCUAGAUGUGACAUAGACAGACCCUGGUUUCAACCAGAACAAACCUGAGAAGAAGUGUCUCCCACGAGUCGUAAAAUCAUACAUUGUAGGUAAAACAAAAUCAGAAAGACCAUCGGAUCUUAAAUCCUUCGUCGCCACCUACGACGUGUCUCAUUUUGGGUUCCGUCAUUCCAAGCAGUGUCUAGAAAAGUGAACUGCAUGGAAGAACGAGCCAUCACUCGAACAACUAUUGACCAGAUUAGGACAUUCAGGGUCAGUUUCGAUUCUGUGCCUGGUAGCCCUGCCAAUCAUCGGCCGGCCAUAAUUUUGGCAUAUGAUUCGGCUGCCAACAGACCGCCAAUAAUUUGGUCGCACAUACUAAGAAGACUAGGCCUGCAAGGGUUUGAUUUUUCUGGACUUUUCGGAAAUUUUUUUACCGCCCUUGUUAGCACGACGCGUGUGCUCAAGAGUCUCUGGGCGUAGCUUUUUUUUUUUCUGGCAAAGCAUUUUACACGUUUGGAUUUCUAGAGAGGUCGACCGCCGCUUUGAAUGUCUAAUCUGUCCCUUACAAUGUCUGGUCUUCCUCCAAUCGUGGGCCGCGUGGCACGGUUUUCACCACGUCGGUUUGCGAGAUGUCUCGAGAUCGUUCGUGGAUCCAUCCAGUCUAUGGUCCCACCGCCUUUUCUCUUGUAUAAAUAAGGAGUCUCCCAUCGCCCAACAGAAGACGAGCUCUCGUCCAUGGCAAAGAGAAAGAUGCAGAAAGAAUGGUGUGCGUACAGAGCAUGGGACGGUCGCAGCCGGGUACCCAAGGUGCCGGCGCUACUGGCUGACAAAGCCGCGCUAUGCUGCACAUGAGGAGGAUUGGAGGAACACCCAAUCAAUCGGAGGGCGGGUGGGCUGAGCAGCCGGACGGCGCUGCCAUGGGGGCAAGCGGUGAGCACGUGACAUGUAUCUGCCACUGCUGGCGAACGCUCCCGGCGCUGGAGACGGCCGUUCUUUUCCGCAGGUACGUGAAACCCAGCUGCAUACACAACCUAUCCCUCCAACCUCGCCCCAUCUCUGUUGUGCUUCCUCGGUGGAACUCAGACCGUGGCAUGCCAUUCCUAUCGCCGUCGUCACACCGAUGGCCCGGGCGGGAUCCGCCAUCCCCACGGCCGGGCCCCUCCUCGGUGGGCGCCCCUCCCUCAUCGCCGCCAACAACAGCGGAAGGUGCCGUGUCUGCACCGAGUGCCACGCCGUUUCCGACGUGGCGGAGCACAGCCACACGGCCAGGGCGCUCGGACUCCGCCCGCUCUUCGGCGCACCCUCCGGCUCAACCUGCGCGGUAGGCGGCUCCGGCGCAACGGCCCCCCACGGAGUCGUCGUCGGGCGCUCGACCCGGGCGUCAACCCCGUGGACCACGCGGGAGCAGGAUCCGCGGUCAGACCGUCCUCGCCGGGCGCCCGUUCGUGGCACAUGGCCACGUUGCGGCCAGCCACAGCGGACGCCCUCGUCUCUCCAAGGAGUGCCACAACGUCGCCGACGCGGCAGGGCACGGCCUGGACGCUCGGGCUUGGGCUACCCCCGCUCCUUGGCGGCUCCACCUCUGUCGCGACGGGCAACUAUGUUUUGUCUCUAAUGCAUGUUUGGCUAAAACCCUUCUAUUUUUUGCAGAGCUCUCACAAAUCAGUCAACCUACGAAGUGGCCAGAUGGAAGGGGCUAUUCUACUUGAGGUAUGUGCUAUCAAGAACAACGCAGGCUCCAGUGUGCUCUGAUUUUAUGAUUCUUCACUACUAUAUUGUUAGACUUGGUACUGGAGCUGUACCACUUGCAGGGUAAUUCUGGACAAAGCUCAUCCAUUCAGUAAAUGCAUAUAUAGAAACAUCUGUGACUUCUGCCUCACUAUGGAAUGAAGUUGCUCCGGAAGUCAUGUGAGGCUAGAGAUAUAGUUUACUGUCCUAUGAUUUCAGCAAUAUACGACUGGAAGUAGGUUCCUGUGAUUGAAACUGUACAGGGUGAUUUCUCACGCUUCUGUAUGAAUGUGAAUUCGAGCUGUGAUUGUAUGUCGCAGUCUACAGUUUUGCUCCUCUCUUUUCAUAGCCAAGCACAGUUUGCUCUUUUAAGCCAUUUGUGUUUGCAUCGCCAUUCAGAUUUUCUGUGAACUCAAUACCCUCCAAUUUCUCAUUCUUCUACUGUUCCGUUGUGCAAUAACCUUUCAAUCUAUGUAUUGCUUUAUGAAUUAGCAAAAAAAAAAAAACUCUGGCUAGAGAAAGCUGCACGUAUAAUGAUGCAUAUAGUUAGUCAUGGCAAAAAAUAUAUAUUUAGUUGCCACUGUAUUGUUACAUGUGAACCGCAACAAAACAGAUACUGCAAACAAGAACAAAUUCACACCUCUUCUGCUGGUGUUCUAUCACAUAUCAACGGUGAACACUAGGAUCGAUUGCGUUUGUUAUAUGAUAUGUAAUGUAAGCAGGCUUAUACAAUUUGUGUGUUUCUGUUGAUGUAGCUUACCUUGACAGGGGAGGAAAGCAUGACGGCCGUCUUUGUCAGGCUCACUGUGCAGAAGCUCUUGAUGAAGCACAAAACGUCCCAUGUCGAACCGCGGGCCGACAUGGUGUGAGAAUUGCAGUUAGCUGAAAAAUGGGGAUUAGACACAUGGAGAUGUAGCACUUGGGUGAGUAGGUACCUGCACGGCUUGUGAAUGGUCUGAAAUCUGAACCGUGAACCUCUCAUGGGGACUUGCCGCGCCUAGCUAGCUCUGAUCGCCGCCACUCCCCAAUGGUGAGCAUGUCGGAGAUCCCGCCACCACCACGCCCUACCUUGCCGCUUCCUCUUCUCCUCCGGCUUUGGCGGCCUCACUUGCAAGCGAGGAGCACUCGAUUGCUUCUUCUCCUCUGCCUCACGCGGCCUCGCUUCCUCCUAUUCUUCUGAGCUCAUGACAUUGUCUGCCGGCUUCUCCCUCUCUAAGCCACCCUCUACCUCGAGACAACCACGUACCUCGCCGAGGCGUGCUGCGCAGGUGAGGACCACUCAAUUCCUACUCCGGGCUGAGAGGAGACGCAGGAGCCACGGCGAGGGGCGGCGUUGAGCCGGCAAUGCAAGGAACAAAUGAACUAGGGAGAACGGGGAAUGGUGGAGGUGGGGAAUAGGCAGGGAGAUUCGAGAAGCUACACAGAUUCGGGAAUAGUGGAUCUCAGUCCACAGCCACACCACCGCUCGGUGCAGUCCAAGUGCAGCUAGCUAGGCACACACCAUGAGAAGAUGUGCGGUCAGGACUGUGCCGCGUGCGGGAGGGUCUGACCGAACGUCAGCGCAAUAGCGUCAGUUUUUUUUUAUUUUUUUUGCAAUAUAUAGAGCAUGCGGAAAAAAGGUAAGAUAAUCUAGAGCACAAAAGAACGAGAACAAUCGUAUGGAAUAUUGAUGGUUACAUUUAUUCUCAUGUAAGUUAGCUUUGAGAAAAUUUGACAUAUUGUAGCAGUCGAGGUUUGUGAAGUCUUAACCACUGCCCAAGAUAUUUGUUUUACCAUUUUGUAAUCAAGUUAGAAAUAUUUAAAAUAUACUACAUUCUUCCGUGGCCUUUUACCAUCACAUCUACAUUUCAAUUGACAGGAACUUCUGUAGUUGCAUACGAUUUUGUGUAUAUAGCGUGAAGUUUCAAAACAAACUGCAGUUGUAUACGAUUUUGUGUAUAUCGCGUAAAGUUUCACAACGAAAUUCAUGAAAACUAGCACAGAGUUUUAGAACAAAAUUCAUCUAACAACUCAAAAACUAUCAGCGAAACCCAGCUGAAGGAUCAACAUCUCUGGUCUAAGAAGAGAACAAGAGCUUCGCAAUUUUGCGUAGUGAAGCACAGCUGAAGGAUCAACAUCUCUGGCCUAAGAAGAGAACAAGAGCUUCGCAAUUCUGCGUCCAAGACAUCACAUAUGCAUAUACCAACUGGAUGUACCUUCUCCUUGCAUGAACUACUUUGCCAUGAAUCGGGUCUUGGGACAACUUACCAAAUAAUACAAAAAUACAAAAUAGCUAAUUAAUCCAUGUGGCGUGGCGUGCCGCCGCGCACUACCCGCUAGUUGAAUAGGACGAGCUGAUUGGCAUUCGACGAGACAGAAAAUGGGAACCCAGCCGAAUAGCCGCCCUCACUUCGGUCAAUGCC